rnacentral:rRNA from 1 species
UUCGUAGGUGACAAGCGUUGUCCGGAUUUACUGGGCGUAAAGAGCGCGCAGGCGGUCGAUCAAGUCGAGUGUGAAAGCCCCCGGCUCAACUGGGGAGGGUCAUUCGAUACUGAUCGACUCGAAGGCAGGAGAGGGUAGUGGAAUUCCCGGUGUAGUGGUGAAAUGCGUAGAUAUCGGGAGGAACACCAGUGGCGAAGGCGACUACCUGGCCUGUUCUUGACGCUGAGGCGCGAAAGCUAGGGGAGCAAACGGG